rnacentral:rRNA from 1 species
UGAGGAAUAUUGCACAAUGGGGGAAACCCUGAUGCAGCGACGCCGCGUGGGUGAUGAAGGUUUUCGGAUCGUAAAGCCCUUUUCUGCAUGACGAGCAAAGGACGGUAGUGCAGGAAUAAGUGUCGGCUAACUACGUGCCAGCAGCCGCGGUAAAACGUAGGACACAAGCGUUAUCCGGAAUUACUGGGCGUAAAGGGAGUGCAGGCGGUUUCGUAAGUUAGGCGUGAAAGACUUCGGCUAAACCGGGGGAGGUCGUCUGAUACUGCGGAACUAGAGUAUGGUAGAGGCGUGUAGAAUUCCGGGUGUAGUGGUGAAAUGCGUAGAGAUCCGGAGGAAUACCAGUGGCGAAGGCGGCACGCUGGGCCAUAACUGACGCUAAGACUCGAAAGCAUGGGUAGCGAACGGG